rnacentral:rRNA from 1 species
UGGGGAAUAUUGGACAAUGGGCGCAAGCCUGAUCCAGCCAUGCCGCGUGAGUGAUGAAGGCCCUAGGGUUGUAAAGCUCUUUCACCGGUGAAGAUAAUGACGGUAACCGGAGAAGAAGCCCCGGCUAACUUCGUGCCAGCAGCCGCGGUAAUACGAAGGGGGCUAGCGUUGUUCGGAUUUACUGGGCGUAAAGCGCACGUAGGCGGACUUUUAAGUCAGGGGUGAAAUCCCGGGGCUCAACCCCGGAACUGCCUUUGAUACUGGAAGUCUUGAGUAUGGUAGAGGUGAGUGGAAUUCCGAGUGUAGAGGUGAAAUUCGUAGAUAUUCGGAGGAACACCAGGGGCGAAGGCGGCUCACUGGACCAUUACUGACGCUGAGGUGCGAAAGCGUGGGGAGCAAACAGG